AUUCUCUUAGUUCAAUGGUAGAACUGCACUCUUCUAAAGUGCUAAUUUUGGUUCGAAUCCAAAAGAGAAUA
rnacentral:tRNA from 1 species